CACAGGGUCCCUGCUGGUGCCAGCCUGGAGUUCCCUCCCUGUGAGCUGUGCCCGGGAUGAUCCAUCAGAGCCUGGCACAUCCUGGCACGAGGCAGGGAGGGCACAGGAGCUUGGACGCGCUCCCAGCUGGCAGCAGGGUGUGACAGCCACAGCCAGCCCCUGCAGGGGAUGGAUGGAUGGAUGGGUGGAUGGAUGGAUGGAUGGAUGGAUGGAUGGAUGGAUGGAUGCAUGGAUGCAUGGAUGGAUGGAUGGAUGGAGCACAGCCAGAAACGCAGGAAUCCUGUGUCCCCUCCAAAGGACACGCUGCACAGCCGCCCCACAAGAUCCUGCCCUUGGAUUCUGCUUCCCAACAGCUCCAGGACAUCUCUGCAGCCACCCCAGGAGCCACUGAAUUAUUGUGCUCAGUGUUCAGCCUCUCACACCCCANCCUGUUCCUUUUCCUUGGGACAGAACCUCACUGCAGGCUCCCAGGGGAACAGUUAAUGUGAGGAAAUAAGGAAACCAAACCUGCCAAAGGAGAUUUCAGUGCUGUGGGUAAUCAGGGUGGCAGCUGCCUAUGGUCCCUGUCAGGUGGGAUGGAAAGGCAUUGUUAUGAAAAGGCUCCCUGGGUGAGGUUGGGACGCAGAUUUUAGGGUGGUAUUUGGGACUAUUCCCAAAGCUCCGCCUGUCUAAGGGAGGAAAGCGUGCAUGGAGACACUGGGAGUUAACCCAAGGGGUAGCAGAGGUGCUCUGGGGCUGAUGAACAGGGAGGUGAUGCCCCAGAGUCCCCCAAAAACACUGGCAGAGCUAAGCCCAGCCUUGUGUCUCUAACCCCAGGCCUUUGGGAAGGGGCUUUGCAAGAGCCAGCAAUUGGUUUUGAAUGGACCUAGGGAGAGUGAGAGCUGCUGAUAGCUUCCAAUUAGGGGGAAAAGGAAUUGUUUUCCCCGUGAUCUCAUCCCUAGGAAGCAGCCAAAAAUCCCCCAGAGCACCCUGGCUCAGAAAGGAGCUCAUUGUUCCCCUGUCUGCUGGCACAGGGAGGGGUGAGGAGCAGGUCAAGCAGGAAAAUGUGCUCCAGCACCCCCCAGGCCCCACAGCCUGCCCUGGGUGUGCUCCCAAACGUCCCCACCCAGGCAGGGCAGCAGCUCCAGGUGAUCCCCAGCUCCGGGGACC
rnacentral:lncRNA from 1 species